UAAAAUGUGGUGUAAGGGCUGGCGAUGU
rnacentral:piRNA from 1 species